UUACAGUUGAAUAGUAAUACAGACGGAAAUAACCGUCAUUUUUAUCGUUCCGGUCAAAUAUUGCAGCACAAAUAUUGUUAACAUCUUUAAUAUGUGAAUGCUGGGAAAUGACCAUGGCAUGAACGGGAUAAUCAACGGCUAGCUGUGCAUUAAACGAUUUGAAUGCACUUCGCGGAGGCAACCACCCUCCGCUGUGCAUCGGGCGGUUCUUUCUCCUCCACGUCGUGCAUUCAAAUCAUUUAAUGCACAGCUAGUUGACUACUGGACGUGUUUCAUCGCUUGUAAUGAUUGGAAAAUCCGUUUGUACUUCGUGUCAGAAACAGCGCGAGCGCUUGGAGUGCAUCUGUACGUCAGAAAUAUACCGGGGCAUCACUUUACUGUCCGCAUCCACUGUAAAUAGAAUAUAUAAUGGGUUCUAUAUUGUUUUUUAUCGAGUUGUGCCGCGCUGGUAGCACGGAAGAUGGGGAUGAACCCGCAAUUUAUUUACCUGCAAACAUUUCCCGUCAACAUGGCGGUAACAAACUACCAUGGCAACUGCAAUGAAGCAUCAAGAAAGACAUGAGCAGGCCAGCCACCCUGAGACUGACAAUUCAUGAGAAGACGUUUCUGUCACUAACAAAGUGGAUGGUGAGCGAAGGUGGUGGCCACGUUUUGGAGCAGCACCUGGGUUUUGCAGAUGGCUAUGUAUUCUUUGGCUGUUUGUCUUUUUCCCCAUUAUAUUUCUGUUGCCAAAGAUUCUUUGUAAGGAUGAAUCCAGUGGACACAACAUAACGCACUGCAAAACGUCCUAAGACAGGAGAAAUGGUGAAGUUGCACUGUUCCAGCAUUGGAAGAUUGUAUG